rnacentral:sRNA from 1 species
CAACCACAGAUGCACAAGAGCUGAGGCAUCUCCCAAGCCAAAUACCUGCAUCCAAGAUCUUGUCAUGUUCUAUUUUGGAGAAACCCAAGUGAAGAUGUAUUCUUCCUUGAGUAAUUUCAGACGCUGGUGUCAUCUGUGGAUCCUCCGGGGUUAAAAAUCCAUGGACACAAUCUCUAAAUCCUAUUCCAGUUCCUAUGGUCUUAGAGAGAAAAAUCUCAUUAAGUGAGAAUCUAAUGGGCUGGAAAAAUUCAACAGACUAACCUCAGAUGAAGUAAUAUAUUUGUUGAAAAAAAUAGCACCUGUUAGCUGGAAAAUAAUGAUACAUUGACUUAC